rnacentral:misc_RNA from 1 species
UCCGGUUUGUCACCGGCAGUCCCAUUAGAGUGCCCAACUGAAUGUGGCAACUAAUGGCAAGGGUUGCGCUCGUUGCGGGACUUAACCCAACAUCUCACGACACGAGCUGACGACAGCCAUGCAGCACCUGUGUUACGGUUCCCUUUCGGGCACACCUCCAUCUCUGGAGGCUUCCGUACAUGUCAAGGGUAGGUAAGGUUUUUCGCGUUGUACACCUGAAC